AUUGAACGCUGGCGGCAGGCCUAACACAUGCAAGUCGGGCGAUAGGCGGACGGGUGAGUAAUUUAUGGGGAUCUGCCUGAUGUAUGGGCAUAACUAAUGGAAACGGUAGCUAAUACUGCAUACCAUCAGAUAACACCAUAUGGGAUUAGAUGGUGGGUGAGGUACCGGCUCACAUAGGCGACGAUCCCUAGCUGGUCUGAGAGGAUGAUCAGCCACACUGGGACUGAGACACGGCCCAGACUCCUACGGGAGGCAGCAGUGGGGAAUAUUGCAAAAUGGGCGCAAGCCUGAUGCAGCCAUGCCGCGUGUAUGAAGAAGGCCUUCGGGUUGUAAAGUACUUUCAGUCGGGAGGCGUUACCGACAGAAGAAGCACCGGCUAACUCCGUGCCAGCAGCCGCGGUAAUUC
rnacentral:rRNA from 1 species